CUCCCGUGGCAUACGGAGGUUCCCAGGCUAGGGGUUGAAUUGCAGCUGUAGCUGCUGGCCUACGCCAGAGCCACAGCAACGCGGGGUCCGAGCCGCGUCUGCAACCUACACCACAGCUCACGGCAACGCCGGAUCCUUAACCCACUGAGCAAGGGCAGGGACCAAACCUGCAACCUCAUGGUUCCUAGUCGGGUUCGUUAACCACUGCACCACGACGGCAACUCCAAUAGUUCUUUUGUUAGUCUUCUAAUUUUUAUUUUUGUUUUGGAACUAGGCAAACUGACACUAAAAUUUAUAUGGAAAUUUUACAUUUAAAAAAGACAGAAAAGAUUAGAGUGGUAACUAGCACUACUAAAUAUUUAAGCAUAUUUUAAGAUUAUAUUAAUUCACAGUUUGAUGCUGGUGCCUGAGUAGAUAAAUGAUAUAAAAUAUGAAGUCUAAAAUACAAUAAAACACAAAUAUUUGCUUAAUGGAUAACAAUGAUGGCACUGAAAACCAUUAAGAGAAAAUAAAUUUCAAUAAAUGCACUUUAUAUAACUGGAAAACAAUCCAGAUGAAAAACAACCACAAAACAUGAUAAAAGCGAAGUUGAUUCCAUAUCACUUCUUACUCCAGAAAAAAUUCCGGAUUUAGCAAAGAUUUACACACGACAACAAAUAAAAAUGCACAAAAAUUACUCCUUAGGAAAAGGUGUUUUAAACAGCAUCCAAAAUCCAGAGACUAAAAGAGACAAUAUUGAGGAAGAGAAUAAAUAUUAGCAAUCUGUGGAUGUCAGAAACUAUAAACAAAGUCACAGAUAAGCAGUACCUUGGGAUGUGUGAUAUAUUACAGAAACCUUAUUUUCUUAAUAAGGAAAGAACUUCAAAAUCAGUAAAAGAAAAAAAAAAAAAACAGUCAGAAAAGAAAAUGAGUGAACAAUGGACUACAGCAGAUAAAUACCUGGUAUUUAAACCUAUGGUCUACCAUUAAUUGCACUCAUAUGAAGAUAAAUGUUAAUUGAAAAUAAAACUUUUUUUCAGCAUUAAAAGGUUAAAAAUUAAAAAGUUCCUUUUGUGAAUUCCCUUCUGGCUCAGUAGGUUAAGGUUCCAGUGUUGUCACUGCAGCAGCUUGGGUCACUGCUGUGGUGCAGGUUUCAUCCCUGGCCUAGGAACUUCCAGAUGCCACGAGUAUGGCAAAAAAAAAUUCCUUUUGGUAAGGAUGUGUAGAAGUGGGAAUUGUAAGAUAUUUUGUGUGAAAACAUAAAUUCCUAUACCUUAACGGAAGGGUAAUUAUUCAGCACCUAAGUAAAUAGUGUUCAUAGCAUUGACCAUAAAUUUAUUUAGAACAUAUCCAAAGAUAUACUUGCCAAAAUGUGUUUUAUUUACUGCAACUUUAACUAUUGUACAAAAUAUCAGAAAGUGUCUAAACGUUCAUCAAAAAGAGGUGAAAUGAAUAAUUAUAUCGCAUCAUAAUUGCCUCUGAUUUAGUUUUCAAAGGUGGCAAAGGGAUUUUUUUUCACUAUAUUUUUCUAUUUUAUGUUUUACUAAGUGCAAAUAUUACCUUUUAAAACAUACAGACACACAGACACACAGACACACACACACACAAUGGGAGUAAUGAAAAAUGGAGAGUAAAAAGCAGAAAGUACAUAUAAUAAAGCCAAGAGUGAGAUUGACUCAGAAAAUGUAUGAGAAUUUAUUUUAUGCAGCCUAAAUAUUUGCAAAGGUGGGACCCAAAUGUCUUCAUUGUGAUAAUAAGGGCAUAGAUAGCCAUUUAACAAAUUGCUGACAAUAAGAUUAAGAAUAAAAACAAUUUGUAAAAGAAGCACAGCUAUCUGUGAUACCGAAACCUGUUGGAGUAAAUGAACAUUUAAUAAAGAUGUUAACUAUAUCCUAACACUUAACUAUAUCCUAACAUUAGAAAGCUACGUAAUUUACAAAAAGCUCUCUCUUUAUACAAUUUUCUUUAUCAUUCCAAAGCUUAUCUCAGGUUUUUAAAAAUGUACCUUACAGGAAACUAUUAUGAUGGAUUUCAGGUUUCCUGACUUUAUGCCUUAAUCCAGUAAUUCAACUGAAUGUGUAGAAGUUUGGAAGAACACGCAUGUUAUUUUUCUCCAGUGAGGAGUGGAGUGAUAUUCUACAUGAAAUACAGGAAUUCUAAGUUCUAGGAGAGCUGCACAAAUCAGCAAAAUCGGGGGCUAGGAGACUGACUGGUUUGUGAAAACCGAAGAGCCACUAGGACAUUCAUCUCAAUGAGAGGCAGUGCCAUCUUAUAUUUAUAUUGUGUAAGGUCUGUGCAGUUUAUCAAACCCUCUAAUAUAAACUGGCAUGUUAUUUUUGACUGGAGCAGCAACUCCUAGUAGCAAGGAAGUUAUUCUAUAAAUGAAGAAACUGAUUUUGGGUGAUUUGAUCACUGUCAAAGGAAUAGGUAAAUGACAGAGCCAGUUCUGAAUGAUACUAGGCCUCAUUUAUAUUGCACAUAUCUUAUAUACAUAAAUUUAUAAAAUAUAUACAUUUCCUCCCUAGUGCAUUUUUUUGCUAUUUUUUUCCUUAUUCAAAAUCUGAUUAAUUCUUUUAUGACUUCUAGGAAUCUUUUUGUUUGUUUUUUGUUGGAAUGGAAUUUUUGAUACAAAGAGAACAAUAGCUAGAGAUAUGGGGUCAAAGAGGAAUACACACCCACACCCACCCCUUACACACAGAUGCACAAACUUCUAAGAAGAGAUAUAUAUACGAUUGCUGUUGAAGGAAAAGGGAGAUUUGGGGGGGGGGGAUAAAAAAGGAGAAAAUGAUAUCUAGUGUGUAGACAUACCUGAGAACACAAAGCAAGAGAAAAGUCAGAGAAGAAACAGAAUGUUCAGCCUUUGAAGGAGACUUUUCUCACUCAUUAUAGGGGAGAAAAGAAGAUGGGUGGAGAGAACUUUUGCCAGUAGGUCCUUAAUCUGCAUUCUUUCAAGGUAAGUACCAAGCCAAUGUUCAGAUUAUACUGAAUCACAAGUUUUAUGACAAAUACACUUUAUUU
rnacentral:lncRNA from 1 species